rnacentral:lncRNA from 1 species
GCAAAUCCAUGCUUCAUGGCACAUGAGGUACAUGCUGAAACUGAAAGCAAUUUUACAUUUGAUGAACUCCAUGACGUGCUUUUUCUGAUUUGUAUUUAGAAUAUAAGGAACUUAUUUGUAAGAACAAGAACUUGAAGAAUGAAAAUCAAAUUCUAAUAGAUGAAAAACUGAAACUAACUAGUGAAACUGAAAUCUUAAUUAAAGAGAAUCAAGAACUAAAUCAAAGAAAUCAACUUCUCACUGAAAGUCAUGAUAAACUUAAGAAAAACAAUGAAUUACUUUUAGAAGAUAACAGAAGAUUAACUAAAGAAGUUGACAAAUUAAAACCUAUUGUUGAAAGAUUUACUUUCAGCUCAGAAAAAUUGAACCUAAUGAUAAAUAAUCAAAGAGCUGAAUUUGAUAAAGUUGGAUUAGGAUAUCAACCUUGGU